rnacentral:piRNA from 1 species
ACUGAGAGCAGACCAGAUGUCACC